UACGUAGGGUGCGAGCGUUGCCCGGAUUUAUUGGGCGUAAAGGGCGCGUAGGCGGCCACGCACGUCCGUUGUGAAAUCGCCCGGCUCAACUGGGCGGGGUCAGCGGAUACGGUGUGGCUCGAGCAAGCUAGGGGGCAAUGGAAUUCCUGGUGUAGCGGUGAAAUGCGCAGAUAUCAGGAGGAACACCAAUGGCGAAGGCAGCUCGCUGGGACGGUACUGACGCUGAGACGCGAAAGCGUGGGGAGCAAACAGG
rnacentral:rRNA from 1 species